rnacentral:misc_RNA from 1 species
GAUGAAGAACGUAGCAAAAUGCGAUAAGUAAUGUGAAUUGCAGAAUUCAGUGAAUCAUCGAAUCUUUGAACGCACAUUGCGCCCGCCAGUAUUCUGGCGGGCAUGCCUGUUCGAGCGUCAUUUCAACCCUCAAGCACAGCUUGGUGUUGGGACUCGCGUUAAUUCGCGUUCCUCAAAUUGAUUGGAGGUCACGUCGAGCUUCCAUAGCGUAGUAGUAAAACCCUCGUUACUGGUAAUCGUCGCGGCCACGCCGUUAAACCCCAACUUCUGAAUGUUGACCUCGGAUCAGGUAGGAAUACCCGCUGAACUUAAGCAUAUCAAUAAGCGGAGGA